UACACUCCUGCGGGAGGCAGCAGUGGGGAAUAUUGCACAAUGGGCGCAAGCCUGAUGCAGCCAUGCCGCGUGUAUGAAGAAGGCCUUCGGGUUGUAAAGUACUUUCAGCGGGGAGGAAGGCAAUACGGUUAAUAACCGUGUUGAUUGACGUUACCCGCAGAAGAAGCACCGGCUAACUCCGUGCCAGCAGCCGCGGUAAUACGGAGGGUGCAAGCGUUAAUCGGAAUUACUGGGCGUAAAGCGCACGCAGGCGGUCUGUCAAGUCGGAUGUGAAAUCCCCGGGCUCAACCUGGGAACUGCAUGCGAAACUGGCAGGCUUGAGUCUUGUAGAGGGGGGUAGAAUUCCAGGUGUAGCGGUGAAAUGCGUAGAGAUCUGGAGGAAUACCGGUGGCGAAGGCGGCCCCCUGGACAAAGACUGACGCUCAGGUGCGAAAGCGUGGGGAGCAAACAGGAUUAGAUACCCUUGUAGUCCCAUGA
rnacentral:rRNA from 1 species